rnacentral:rRNA from 1 species
UACAGAGGUCUCAAGCGUCGUUCGGAUUUACUGGGCGUAAAGGGCGCGUAGGCGGCCACCGCAAGUCAGUUGUGAAAUCUCUGGGCUUAACCCAGAAAGGUCAACUGAUACUGCGGGGCUAGAGUGCAGAAGGGGCAACUGGAAUUCUCGGUGUAGCGGUGAAAUGCGUAGAUAUCGAGAGGAACACCUGCGGCGAAGGCGGGUUGCUGGGCUGACACUGACGCUGAAGCGCGAAAGCUAGGGGAGCGAACGGG